UAACAGCUGGCCUUCUUCGACAAUUCUACACGCAACACGUUACCACGGAAAAUGUCUCCGCUUUCUCUCUCUACUCUCUCUCCUCUUCCACCUCCGUCGUCUUCGUCGUCUUCUCCGCAGCUUCACCGGCGAAUCUUUUUUCGCUCUCUCAGAGUCGAAGCUUCGUCGUCGUCUUCGAAUUUCAGUCCUAAAGUUGUUGUGACCAGAGAACGAGGCAAGAAUGGCAAGCUCAUCAAUGCCCUGGCUGAACAAGGGAUUGACUGUUUGGAGCUUCCCCUCAUUCAGCACACGAAGUUGCCUGAUUUGCAUACGCUUUCUUCUGUAUUAAGCACAGACACAGCUUUUGACUGGAUCGUCAUAACUUCUCCUGAAGCAGGUUUAGUUUUUCUCGAUGCUUGGAAGGCUGCUGGAACCCCAAAUGUUAAGGUAGGCGUGGUGGGAGCUGGUACAGCGAGUAUAUUCGAGGAAGCAUCACAGUCAUCAAAGCGAUCUCUCCAUGUUGCCUUCACACCAUCAAAAGCUACUGGUAAGGUUUUGGCUUCAGAGCUUCCAAAACUUGGGAAUAAGAAAUGUGCUGUGUUAUAUCCGGCUUCUGCAAAAGCUGGCAGUGAGAUUGAAGAAGGUUUGUCUAGUCGCGGAUUUCAGGUCACACGACUGAAUACAUACACAACGGUGCCUGUUCAUGAUGUUGACCAACUAGUUUUAAAGCAGGCACUUUCUGCUCCUGUUGUUGCCGUAGCGUCACCUUCUGCAGCUCGUGUCUGGGUUAAUCUUAUAUCAGAAUCAGAACAGUGGGGCAAUUCAGUUGCAUGCAUCGGUGAGACAACUGCUUUGGCUGCAAAAAGAUUAGGCUUGAGAAACGUAUACUACCCAACAAAUCCUGGUCUAGAAGGGAUUUGUCUUACGUGAUUCUAAUAAUUGAUGGAUGUUCUCUAUUUUGAGAUUGUACUGCAAUGACUCCAUAUUUUCCAAAUGGGUAGAUAGCAUUCUUGAAGCCUUAAAAAGUCCAUGACCAAUUCCAAGAGGUCUAACAGUGGCCAUGCCUGCAGCUUGCUAAUUUUCCCCAG